UUUAAUGAUGAUUUAAACAUUCUUCACUUUGACCUGAUUUGUCUUGUGAUGAUAAACUUCAGUCUGAUA